GGAGCGGCCCAGCGGACACAGCUGCCACAUACCCAGAGAGACUGGUGGCAUUCCUUGACCAGCUUUCUUCACACAAACAGUCCGUCAACCCCCCAAAACAACACCCCCAUGCUCCAAGUGUCACCAAGGCUGGGGAAAGCGCCACAAAGGUCAGGGGACAUAGGGACACAUAAGGAGAGUAUUAAGCCAAAAACUGCCUCCAGUCUACAGUCAAAACACCGGACUAAUGCAAGCUCUUCACCACCAACAAGACAAGAGCAGGAACAAAAUCAAGAGGAUUCUGUAUCAUUCUGGACCAGAUUUUUCCCCACAAUCAAACAGUCGCCUCCCAAAAACGACACCAACCCUCUCCAAGUGUCACAGACGCUGGAAACUGAAGAUGAUAAAGAGGAAGAACCCAUGGAUUCAGAAGC